GACGAACGCUGGCGGCGGGCUUAACACAUGCAAGUCGAACGGAAAGGCCCUGCUUUUGUGGGGUGCUCGAGUGGCGAACGGGUGAGUAACACGUGAGUAACCUGCCCUUGACUUUGGGAUAACUUCAGGAAACUGGGGCUAAUACCGGAUAGGAGCUCCUGCUGCAUGGUGGGGGUUGGAAAGUUUCGGCGGUUGGGGAUGGACUCGCGGCUUAUCAGCUUGUUGGUGGGGUAGUGGCUUACCAAGGCUUUGACGGGUAGCCGGCCUGAGAGGGUGACCGGCCACAUUGGGACUGCGAUACGGCCCAGACUCCUACGGGAGGCAGCAGUGGGGAAUAUUGCACAAUGGGCGGAAGCCUGAUGCAGCAACGCCGCGUGCGGGAUGACGGCCUUCGGGUUGUAAACCGCUUUCGCCUGUGACGAAGCGUGAGUGACGGUAAUGGGUAAAGAAGCACCGGCUAACUACGUG
rnacentral:rRNA from 1 species